CGAUUAGGCAUUUUGAGCAUGGGUUCGGUGGGGAUGAACACUCUGCCACCAGCCUGUCUGAAUGAGCGCCGCUGCAUACUAGCUAUGAGGGAUGUGGAACAGCCUAAACUUCUCUGUGCCUCAGUUUUCCCACCUGGAAAAUGGUGCUGCUUAUCAGGUUCUCGUGGAAAAACUUCCUCUGUUUGUCUUUGGCAAAAUGAGGAAAAGCCAGGACACGCCAGUGAGCUUCCCCUUGAAGUUCACUUUCUCCCCAGCUAUGUUCCUUUUCGCAAGGGCUGUCUGUUAUUCGGAGUUUCGACGCCCUUCUGUGCUGGCGGGUGAAGUGGGUGACGGCGGCAGGGUAGGCUGGGCUGCUUGGCGCUCGGGGCCUCGAGUGGAAAACAACAAGUGGCA